rnacentral:rRNA from 1 species
AUUGAACGCUGGCGGCAGGCUUAACACAUGCAAGUCGAACGGUAACAGGAGAAAGCUUGCUUUCUUGCUGACGAGUGGCGGACGGGUGAGUAAUGCUUGGGAAUCUGGCUUAUGGAGGGGGAUAACGACGGGAAACUGUCGCUAAUACCGCGUAGAGUCGGGAGACGAAAGUGCGGGACCGCAAGGCCGCAUGCCAUGAGAUGAGCCCAAGUGGGAUUAGGUAGUUGGUGGGGUAAAGGCCUACCAAGCCGACGAUCUCUAGCUGGUCUGAGAGGAUGACCAGCCACACCGGGACUGAGACACGGCCCGGACUCCUACGGGAGGCAGCAGUGGGGAAUAUUGCGCAAUGGGGGCAACCCUGACGCAGCCAUGCCGCGUGAAUGAAGAAGGCCUUCGGGUUGUAAAGUUCUUUCGGUGACGAGGAAGGCGUGAUGUUUAA